rnacentral:rRNA from 1 species
GACGAACGCUGGCGGCGUGCCUAAUACAUGCAAGUCGAGCGAUGAAGCUUGGUGCUUGCUCCAAUUUGGAGAGCAGCGGACGGGUGAGUAACGCGUGGGUAAUCUGCCUUUGAGCGGGGGACAACAUUUGGAAACGAAUGCUAAUACCGCAUAAUAUCUUUAAACAUAAGUUUCAAGUUUGAAAGAUGCUAUUGCUUCACUUAAAGAUGAUCCCGCGUUGUCUUAGCUAGUUGGUGAGGGAAAGGCUCUCCCAAGCGAAGAUACAUAGCCGACCUGAAAGGGGGAUCGGCAACAAUGGGACUGGGACACGGCCCAAAAUCCUACGGGAGGCAGCAGGAAGGGAUCCUCGGCAAUGGACGAAAGUCUGACCGAGCAACGCCGCGGGAGUGAAGGAGGUUUUCGGGUCGUAAAACUCUGGUGGUAGAGAAGAACGUUAGGGGGAGUGAAAAGCGCAUCAAGUGACGGUAACUACCCAGAAAGGGACGGCUAACUACGUG